rnacentral:rRNA from 1 species
GUAUUAAAGGUCCCGCCUGCCCAGUGAAAUUAUUUUAACGGCCGCGGUAUUCUAACCGUGCAAAGGUAGCGUAAUCACUUGUCUCCUAAAUAGAGACCAGUAUGAAUGGCUAAAUGAGGACAGCCCUGUCUCCUACAACUAAUCAGUGAAACUGAUCUGCCAGUACAAAAGCUGGCAUACUCACAUAAGACGAGAAGACCCUGUGGAGCUUAAAACGAACUACUAAUAACCCCGUGUCAUUUAGUACAAUUUUAAGUUGGGGCGACUUCGGAAUAAAAUAAAACUUCCGAGCACAGAAUCACCAAUUCUAACCAAGGCCAACAAGCCAAAGCACAAACUGACCCAGUCAUACUGACCAACGAACCAAGUUACCCCAGGGAUAACAGCGCCAUCUUCUUCAAGAGUCCAUAUCGACAAGAAGGCUUACGACCUCGAUGUUGGAUCAGGACACCCCAAUGGUGCAACCGCUAUUAAAGGUUCGUUUGUUCAACGAUUAACA